rnacentral:SRP_RNA from 1 species
GCCAAGUAAUCCCAGCUACUGGGGAGGCUGUGGAUGGGGGAUCUCUUGAGCUCAGGAGUUCUGAGCUGCAGUAGACUCAAGCUGAUCAGGUGUCUGCACUAUGUCUGGCACCAGCAUGGUAUGGGAGGGAUGGGGGCUGCAAAGCUGCCUAAGGAAGGGCAAGCUGGCUCAGAUCAGAAAAGGAGCAGGUCAGAGGUUCUGGGACAAUCAGUGGUGGGUUCUGCUGGUGAGUGGCCACUGCCUUUCCAGCCUGGGAGAGAUAGGGAGAGCCCAGUCUCAA